AGUGAGGUGGCUGAGUUUAGGCGAUAAAUUGUAAAUUUAUUAACGAAUUACAUAUUCUCUCACUA
rnacentral:tRNA from 1 species